AACACUUAGCCAAAUUUCUAGUUUGUCCGCCAACUUAAAACUUAGCUCAUCUUUUUUUUCCCUAAAAAACAACAUUUAUACAAAAAAAAAAAAAAAUUCAAUUCAUUUAUCCCUAAUCUAAAUCGAAGAAAAUUUUUCCUCUUCUCUCCACUUCUCCUCUCUCUCCGAUCUCUACUCUCCCUCUCAGUCUCCGUCUCUCUCCACGUCCGCUUCAUCGGCGAUUUCUCUUCCUCCGCCGCCACCACUUUCUCCUCCAUCAUCUCAGCCGCCGUCACCAGAGGUGGCCAUUCACGAGGUUGCCAAACUGAGUCUCAUGACCAGCAGCUCGCCAAAGCCUUGACCUUUCCUCACUUAAUCGCAAUUGGUGUUGUAUCAACAAUUGGAGCAGGGGUUUAUAUUCUUGUGGGAACAGUGGGGAGAGAGCAUUCAGGACCUGCUCUAGCCUUUUCAUUCUUUAUAGCUGGUGUUUCUGUAGCACUCUCUAGCCUUUUUCCUUCAGCUGGAAGUGCCUAUCACUACUCUUACAUUUGCUUUGGUGAAGAGUAUCAUUUCACUUGCUUGUUUAGUUAUCUAGCAGUUUGUUGCGGUUUCAUUAACCACUCGUUGAAGGAUUUGGAGCCUUUAAUGUUUUGCUUUUGAAUUUUGUGGGAUUCUGCAUAGUUGCGUGGUUAAUUGGCUGACACUGAUUCUGGAAUACACUCUUGGUGGUUCAACUGGCGGAGGGAGAAGAAGAAGAAGCCAUUAUCUGAUUACGCGUCUGAGAGACGGGGCGAUGUUAUUCGAAGAUCUCAUCGAAUGUUGCGAUGGCAAACUCAAUCCCGUCAAAUUCUUUUCUGCUGAUGAGAUCCGCAAAGCGACCAACAAUUUCAGCGACUCGAAUCAUAUUUCUGAAUUAUCUGAUUUUGGCUACGAAUGGUAUUCAGGUCAAACAGAGAACCAUCACAAAAUAUUCAUCGAUAAAGUUGUAAGAAGGUCCAAAUUUGAUGAAGUUUACUUUGACACGACAUAGCAGUUUCAUCGAUGGUGAGUGGUCACAAAAGCUUCAGGAAAUUGAUUGGAUGUUGUCUUGAGUUUGCUGGUCGAGUCACAGUUCUUUGCCUACAUUGGAUUUGAUUCAGUUGCAAAUAUGGCAGACGAGGUUAAAGAUUGUGAUGCUAAACUUAGAUAGAAUACUUGCAAGAAUGUGGGACGAAAUGGGGACUUGUGAGAGUUUAGUAUAUGAGACUUGUGAGUUGUGACAAUUUUUAUUAUAUUUAGCAUUUUGCAUCUUUUUAUAGGAAAUGUAUUCUGAAUUAUGCAAAUUUUAUACUACUAACGGUUUGUGAUAAUUCAAUAAAAUAAGUUAGAGAUUUUUUUUA